CAUCUCCUAGCCUCACCAUGUAGUCUGCUCUCGAGUCAUGGUUGCAGCGCCCAGUUCGAUGAGGUGCAGUGCCCCAAGCGCCCAGGAUGGCCCCUCAACCUGCUCGUGAGGUGGGUGGGAGAUGGAGGUGCCGCCAACUUCCUCAUCCACAACAUCAGGCUUUCUGAGGCCUCGGCGGCGCUCCGCUCUCGCUCAGGCCACUGCAGCCUCGAGGAUCAAAUCUUCCUAGGGGAAAUGUCCACAAGCAGAGAAGGGAUGGCACGACCUGUGCGGAGGCAGUCGUCGUCAUCCUCGGCAUCCAGCUGAGCGCCUCGUCAGAGAGCCUCGGGUGGGAGAAGGAACAACAUCACGUCGAGAAGGAGGGGCAUCACACGAUGCGUUGUGGAUCACAAGGAUAAAUGUGACCAAAUUGUUCAUGGAGCACAAGAUGUAUGUCUCCUGAUCAAAAGCAAGUGGUUUCUUCUGAUUUCCAUCGCCUUUCCUUUCCAGGUUUUGCAUGUUCGAAUGAUGGGACAAGCCAAAUUGUCAAAAAGGCAAUGUUCGCUGUGCAGAACCUGGUUGUCCCAUAUGAUUAUCACCAGUACAAUCCAUGAAUAUUUAGUUAUGCCAUGCAGGUGAGUAAUGCAAAGCUAAUACAAGAUGGUGCGCUCGAAAUGGAGGAUUUAAUUUGGUAUACGACUAUAUGUUAUAGAAGCUUGCCAAAAACAAGCACAAUAGCAGAAAUCAAAUGAAAAUUACUCUAGGUGGAAGAAGCUACUACUCCAGGCCUGACUGAAAGAAAGAAGUAUUUUAUACCAUAGUUGGAUUUAGUUACUACCAUUGAUAUCUUCUUUCACCGACUUGACAGAUGCUGAGCUAAGACCUUUAAUGUUUGGGUUUGGGUGGCAGGGGAUUCUUGCAUUGUCGGACAUCAGACAGCAUUUGGUGUUGUAGGAGUGUCAGAUAAUUGUAAACUACAUCUUGUGAUGCAGAUGAUGGUACACGUUGGGCUGCUGAUGCAAUAUGAACCAACGCUUGGUGAACUUUGCUUGGCUAAUAUAGUAUUCUUUUCUAAAAU